UUUUAAGGUGGCAAUUUCUUAGGCACGACUGACUCCAUAGCCUGUAUGUGCGUUCUCAACUCAUUCACUUCUGCUUUUAAGGUGGGAAGUUCUUCAGCUUCCUUACGAUCAGCCUGCCCCCUCUUAGAAACUGAAACUUUCAGGGGAGCCAACCGCGUGUGAAUGCCUGUCAUCACUUUUUCUGAUGGAUUCACUGCAGCAGUGGCUCCACCCUCCCCUGCAACAAGAGUAGACAGCUGAUGUGCAGUAGCUUUUGGCUUAACAAGGUGGGAACACAAUUUGUUAGUUUCUAAAUGGCUACGCAUACGCUCUUCUUUGGAAGCCUGCUUAUCUUUCUCAGCCCUAACAGAUACUACUAACUCAGCAAACGAAGCACAAAGUACUGCAGACACAAUGGGUUCCGAAUAUGGACCAGCUUUUCGGAAGUUCAGAUUCGCCUAUGGAGAAUAAGGAGCUCAACAACAACAAUGAAUCAGUCAGACACGAUUUCAAAGACUUCAAAUGAAAAUUCAGGAAUCUCAAAUGGGAAUUUCAAACACCCUUCAGCACAACCUUCAAAUCAGUUAAUGAAGUUAACUUUUGUUUGCUUCUCUUUUG